GGCAGCGUAGCUCAGUUGGUAGAGCAGAGGAUUCAUAAGCCUCGGGUCACCGGUUCGAGUCCGGUCGCUGCCA
rnacentral:tRNA from 1 species